GAGAAUUGAGAUAAUUAGGGUGAAUAAAUAGAGAGAGUGAGGUAGAAUUUUGUACGAUACAUGCAAAACUUAAGAAAGGAGGCAAAAAGGAAGAACCUAGGAAGAGACCUUGAAGAACGAGGAAGAAUCCCAAAAAGGAAAAAACUUCAUCAAUAUGCGAAUUCGAGAUAAAGGGGGAGUAUUAUUCAUAUAUGAGUGGUUAAAUAGAGGGAUAGUGAGGGGUCCUUACCCUCAUGCCUUCCUCCUUCCUUUUUCUUUGUAUUUAAUGUUUGUGGUAAAAAAAAUUGGGCAAAACCUUUGAGACGAUUGAUUGAUAAUAUUUCUACUCUCGAAUAUGAUAUGUAUUCUCAUCGAUAUGUCUUGAUGUCUUAUUUAACCUUGUUGAUAACCUUGUCAAUAACCUUAUUGAUGUCUUGUUGAUAUUAUUGCCUUGUUUGUGUGUUGCAGUUGCAUAUGAGUUGUAGAUCUAUUUAAUAGGGCGAGAGUUAGAAUGUUUAAUUUUCAACGGCUAUGUUUAUCAAUAUGUUUUUAAGGCGGUGGGAACUCAAAUAUGCGAAAUAAGUGAGUUUCAAAUUUGUUCAAUAGGGAGAAAACCACAUAAAAUUGCAGUUAGAUAUAAAAGAGGAUUGAUAGUCUUAUUUCAUGCGUAACUUAAAUUUCAUAAGUCUGUUUGAGGUGUCGUCAUUUGUGUUAAAAAUUUAACACAAUAAUAUUUAUUUUGAAGUAGGGAAAUUGGGUCUAGGAGCGCUACAACUGUAGUAGUUCACUGGUUUUUAUACCAAAGGCGUAGUCAAUUUCAGUUAUGCGUUGGUUAUCAUGUUUCAUGCGUAACUUGAUUUUCGUAAGUCUAUCUGGGGUGUCGUUAGUUGUGUUAGAAAUAUAGUUUAAUGAACUUUCAAACAGAAGAGUCUCAUAAUUUUAUCAUGAGUAAAUAAUUUUUCAUGCUAUUUUGAUGUCAGACAUUCAAUUUUAAAGUUUAUGCAGGAAUUAUUGCGAUGAGGCUUAAUUGAAACGAAUAGAUUUGGAGUUUCGUAACUAUGUUGAGGUGCGUUUAAGUGCGUUUGAAAGAACGUUUAAAGAAAUUUUAGACUGAAGAGUUUCAUAAUUUUAUCAUAAGUCUAUAAUAUUUGGUACUAUUUUGAAGUGAGACAAAGUUUAGAGUUAGGUCUAGAGUUUUGAGCAAUUUUGAGUUUGGUGACCUUUCGUUGCAUUAUUUAUAUGUUUAAGAGUCAGAAUUGUUAUGUGAGAGCUUGUUACAGUUCUUAUAGAGUUGUAAGAGUUAUUUAGUGUUAAAUCUGAUGAGCUUUAAAGUUCAAGUGAAAGUAUUUGACUCUUUAGAGUUGUUUUGUGUUAUAUAGUUUUUUGAGUCAGGCCGCUAGCUAAUAAAGUUCAUAAGAGUUGUCUUUAUAUGAAAGAGUUUUCAAUUGAAUACUUUAGAACACUUUGGAGUAAUUUAGAGUCAUUUAGAUUUAUUUUAGAGUUGUAGAUCUUGUCUUAGAGUUAUUUAGACUUUUCCUUGAGAACUUUGUUGGGUAAAAGACAAUAAUUGUUACCCUUUUGAUGAGUUGUGAGCAUACAUAAAUUAAUUAUUACUCUGAUUAAUAUGUUUUGAGUAUUUUCUUAGUUGAUUUGAGUUGUUGAGUAACAAUAUAUUUUUACUUUGUUAUUGAUUAUAUUGGUGAAAUGAUGAUUAAUAUAAGAAUCUUUUGAGUUUGAGUUUUGAGUAUGUUUUUCUGUUGUUUUGAGCUUUGUGAUUUAUGUUUCCAUGUUCAUGCAUACAUGUAUAUUGGAGCUAGAUAAGUCUUUGUUCCAGUGAGGUCAGCUUCAGAGGGGAACCAUGUCAGUCUCAAGUUCAGAGAGGAACACGAUUAAGAGAAGAACUAGAGACAGAGAUAAACUAGUAAUACACCUCUGAUGCCCAAAACCCCGAUACCACAUGCAUUCCUGGAGGAGGAGUAAAUUGCAUUAGUACAUUUGCAUUGUGAUUGUCGUUGUUUUGUGAAUUAUUGUGUGAGAAUUACAAUUGAUGUUAUGUAUGACUAUCUGAACUAUUUAUUACACCGUUAAUAUUAUGAACAUAUUUCUCACCCUUUUUAUUUGCUUGUGUUGCUUGUUGGUCCGAUGAUACAAAUACUCAGGUAGAUGAGCUUUAUCUGCUGUUGAGUUGGAGGAUGGCGUAAUGACAUUCUUUGUGGUUUAUAAAUUUUAGUUUAUUUUAGAUUUCGCAUGUUGUAACAUCCUAAACCCCAAAUACAAUUUUAAUGCAUUAUUUAAUAAAAUUGCAACCACAAAGGGUAUCACUCA
rnacentral:lncRNA from 1 species